UAGGGAAUCUUCCACAAUGGACGAAAGUCUGAUGGAGCAACGCCGCGUGAGUGAAGAAGGGUUUCGGCUCGUAAAACUCUGUUGUUAAAGAAGAACAUAUCCGAGAGUAACUGUUCAGGUAUUGACGGUAUUUAACCAGAAAGCCACGGCUAACUACGUGCCAA
rnacentral:rRNA from 1 species